CAGCCGCCACGGUAAUACGAAGGGUGCAAGCGUUAAUCGGAAUUACUGGGCGUAAAGCGUGCGUAGGCGGUGAGUUAAGUCUGCUGUGAAAUCCCCGGGCUCAACCUGGGAAUGGCAGUGGAUACUGGCUCGCUAGAGUGUGUCAGAGGAUGGUGGAAUUCCCGGUGUAGCGGUGAAAUGCGUAGAGAUCGGGAGGAACAUCAGUGGCGAAGGCGGCCAUCUGGGACAACACUGACGCUGAGGCACGAAAGCGUGGGGAGCAAACAGGAUUAGAUACCCCCGUAGUCCCUGUCUCUUAUAU
rnacentral:rRNA from 1 species